rnacentral:rRNA from 1 species
AAAGAAAGUAAGCAAGGGCGCAUGGCGGAUGCCUUGGCUCUCGGAGGCGAUGAAGGACGUGAUAAGCUGCGAUAAGCUUCGGGCAGGUGCAAAUAACCUUUGAUCCGAAGAUUUCCGAAUGGGACAACCCGGCAUUCUGAAGGAAUGUCAUCCAUCCUAGAUGGAAGCUAACGCAGGGAACUGAAACAUCUUAGUACCUGUAGGAAAAGAAAAUAAUAAUGAUUCCCCUAGUAGUGGCGAGCGAACGGGGAUUAGCCCAAACCAAUGUUGUUACGGCAAUAUUGGGGUUGUAGGACCACGAUGUCGCAAGAAAUUUAGUGAGAAGAACCCUUUGGAAAAUGGGACCAUAGACGGUGAUAGUCCGGUAUUCGAAGCUAAAUGAAGCGUAGUGGUAUCCUGAGUAGCGCGGGACACGAGGAAUCUUGCGUGAAUCUGCCGGGACCAUCCGGUAAGGCUAAAUACUCCCGAGAGACCGAUAGCGAACCAGUACUGUGAAGGAAAGGUGAAAAGCACUUCGAAUAGAAGAGUGAAAUAGUCCCUGAAACCGUGCGCCUACAAGCGGUCGGAGCUGUGUAAACAGUGACGGCGUGCCUUUUGCAUAAUGAACCUACGAGUUACUUUUUCCGGCAAGGUUAAGGAUCUUGAGAUCCGCAGCCGAAGCGAAAGCGAGUCUUAACAGGGCGAUUAGUCGGAAGGAGUAGACGCGAAACCAAGUGAUCUACCCUUGGUCAGGUUGAAGGUUAGGUAACACUAACUGGAGGACCGAACCGAUAAGCGUUGAAAAGCUUCCGGAUGAACUGAGGGUGGGGGUGAAAGGCUAAUCAAACUUGGAGAUAGCUCGUACUCCCCGAAAUGCAUUUAGGUGCAGCCUUGGGAAUUACUACUGUGAGGUAGAGCGACUGAUAAGAUGCGAGGGCUUCACCGCCUAUCAAGUCUUGAUAAACUCCGAAUGCGCAGUAGUUCGAUCCCAGGAGUGAGGGCAUGGGUGCUAAGGUCCAUGUCCUAAAGGAGAAGAAUCCAGACCAUCAGCUAAGGUCCCGAAAUAAUUGCUAAGUUGAACUAACGAAGUCAGAUUGCUAAGACAGCUAGGAUGUUGGCUUGGAAGCAGCCAUUCAUUUAAAGAGUGCGUAACAGCUCACUAGUCGAGGAGUUUGGCGUGGAUAAUAAUCGGGCAUUAAGCAAUUUACCGAAGCUAUGGGAUCAGUAAUGAUCGGUAGGGGAGCAUUCCACUCUGCGUCGAAGGUGAAGCGUGAGCUUUGCUGGAGCGUGUGGAAAAGCAAAUGUAGGUAUAAGUAACGAUAAAGGGGGUGAGAAACCCCCUCGCCGAAAGACUAAGGUUUCCUGAUCAACGCUAAUCGGAUCAGGGUUAGUCGGGUCCUAAGGCUCAGCCGAACGGUGAGGCCGAUGGCAGAACAGGUUAAUAUUCCUGUACUACCUUAAGGAGUGACGUGGAGACGGAGGAGUGACAGCGCCGCGGACUGACGGAAUAGUCCGUUGAAGGGUGUAGAUGUUGAUUAUCCCAGGCAAAUCCAGGAUAAGAGUCGAACCUGAUAGUAUACCAAAUUCUUCGGAAUAAGGUAAUAGUGCGUGUAAGCAUACUCCCAAGAAAAUCCGCUAAACUUAAUCUUUAAGGUACCCGUACCGCAAACGGACACACGUAGUCGGGUUGAAUAUACUAAGGCGCUUGAGUGAUUCACGGUUAAGGAACUAGGCAAAUUGACCCUGUAACUUCGGGAUAAAGGGUCCCAACGAGAGUUGGGCGCAGAGAAUAGGUCCAGGCAACUGUUUAACAAAAACACAGGGCUGUGCUAAAUUGAAAGAUUACGUAUACAGCCUGACACCUGCCCGGUGCUGGAAGGUUAAGAGGAGAUGUCAUCGCAAGAGAAGCAUUGAAUUGAAGCCCCAGUAAACGGCGGCCGUAACUAUAACGGUCCUAAGGUAGCGAAAUUCCUUGUCGGGUAAGUUC